rnacentral:tRNA from 1 species
CCAAGGGAAGCUUUUAGAGCAGCAGAUUCUUACUCUGAGGAAGGACCAAUUAAGGUCCCCUUUGUU